AGACCAUGGUGUGGGCACUCUCUCUGUAAAUCUCAGAACCUUUUCCAAACUUCAAAUAAGCUUUCAUCUGCCUGUUGUGUGAUGGAAAUAAUUUGGCUCCUUAGAU
rfam:Spinacia oleracea cultivar SynViroflay scaffold15276.con0007.1, whole genome shotgun sequence.